GGCGCAGUGGCAGAGUGGUCUAAUGCGCAAGACUAGAAUUAGUCUAGUAAAUCUUGUUCUUUCGGGAGCGUCUGUUCGAAUCAGGCCUGCGUCG